rnacentral:lncRNA from 1 species
AUGUCACUUUUCUUAACUAUGCUCAGCUGUUUCAGAAUUAUCGUGAUUUGCCCAUGAGUAAUUCCAUCACUUCAAGUGCCUGGCCAACUCUUACACAGAUUAAAGCCAGACAGCUAGGAGUACUAUUGCUCGUAAUACUACCAAGCACUGAGUGAUUUCUAACACUUGGGGCAAAUUCAGCAAAUGAUUUAGCAGGCUCUUAGAUCCCCAAGCCCAUGGCUCAGCGAGGAGCAGUGCCUAUAGCACAGCCCCAUGUGCAGUGACUGCUUGGUUCUCUUCCCUCUCCAGAUCUGGCCAAGUUUUGCUCCACACAGUUCAGCACUGAGAUACCCCUACAUUCUGGCUGCCCCUCACCACUGCUCUUUUUUGUUAAAUGCUGCUCUUUUUGCUCUUUUAAAGAGCAAAAAAGAAACAUCAACAAGUAUUUCGGACAAUAGGCUGGGCAGACACCGUUACACCAGCGAACGAGGGCUGUACGUACACAGCCAAACCACCCCGACUAACCGAUCGUACCGAAUACAACUUCCGCCACGACAAGGAGUUCAUAACCAAAAAGGAAGUUUCACCCUUUUGUUCUCAUCACCGGUGUUUAUUUUCCAGUGAAAAAGUCUGAGCCAGAAAGCCAUAUACAAAUUACAGAGCUGUAAAGCAGACCAAAGGUACGUCCGUCUGGUAAAGACUGAAAUCGAGCCUGGAGAGCGAGGGAUCUUUUGAGAACGUGGUCUUAACAGUGUUUUAAAAUGGAUUUGGGGUCAGUUUAUGCAAGCAACGAUUGUAAAAUGUGUUGUUAGUAAGUCCAUAAGAAUAAAUUCAGGGAAGGUGGAAACUACAUAUAUUAAAAAAAAAAAAAAUGUAAAAAUCAGGAAACAAAACUGUAUUUCAGUAAUAUUUAAAGUACAUUAAACAGUAGGAAAGUUCAAAUACUUGAUUUUAAUGGUGUGUAACUUGAUUUCACUUGGAUGAACAACCUUAGCCGGCAGAAUAGCGAUUCUUAUUAAACAAACUAAUGAUUUAGUUUCCUGGAAAUUAGACAUUAAGAUUCCUUUUCUUCUCUGCUAGCAGCUGCAAUGGAGAUGAAGGUAUCUUUGUAAAGCAUAACAUUUUUUCCUGCAAGUUUGAAGAAUGAGAAUUUCUUUAAACUUCAUGUUUUUAGAGUGUCUUAAUUUAUGUGUAAUUAAAAAUAUAUAUUUGAUUUAAAAAUACAUACAGGAUGUUUUUUCACUGGCUCAAUCCCGUUUCCGUCUUCAUAGAUAUUUUGUAAUGAACUGAUAGCUCAUCAUGCUACCUAUGAGACCGUGUGUAUAUACAUACAUUUAUGUUAACAAGGUUUUCUUUCUUUUUAUAAGCAAAAGGAUUAGCUGUUUUAGUGGCAUUUUUAAAUACGGCAUUGCUUUUAUGACUUCUAGUACAAAACAGGGCAGCACAAAGACGCGAAUUAGUUUAAUUUUCAAGGCUGAUCCUAUUAUUUAAGAUCAUCUGACAGUGAUGAAAGAACAGAGAGAAGAAAAUAUUAUUAGUUUUCAGAACCACAAAUUAUCAAAGGCAUGUAUUCGGUACUUCAUGCAUUCCGAAUUUAUGUAUUUCGGUAUUAAUAAGUUUUUACUGUAAGAGGGGAGCUCAUUAGUAACAAACAGCAGCAGAGGAGAAAUACCACAGUGUACUUUUCGGCAGAAGAACAACUAUGAGUCAUCGCUGUGAUGAAGCUAAGGGAAAAAAAAAAUGCGGUUCUAGAAGAUAUUGAGAAAGGCACUUGCUACAAAGACGUGCUAGUAUCAGCAUCGUUAUCAUCAGGAGCUCUCUCCCAGCCUUAGGCUCUUAAUUAAACAUUAUUUCUGCAUGUCCCCAGUACUACCACAAAAGAUGGAUUCCCAAGGGAGAAGGAUGUGGCAAAAUUAUCCCAUUUUCAUUGCAUCCCCCAGGUUUUCAACUAGCUUUUCCUUCAAGCUUUGCUCUGAGGCCCUUGCAGGAGCGUAUCAGGGGAAACACACCAUCGCCCAAGUUUAUCACACAGUUACCACACAGCUUUAAGCAAAUAAACAAAUGAAAUCAAACUUUGUCAAGUGAUAGUGGUCUAACUAACAGACUCCUUCAUCCUGGGGGAAAUAAAAUAUAUUUUAAAAAAAUAAUUUUAAAAAUAGAGAGAUUUUCAGUUUUCUUUAAGCUCCCAAUGUCCCUGAGCUAAAACACCCGAUGGAUGCUCCUCCACCAGAAGAGACCAAGAGGUCUCUGGGGUUGGGAACAUGAUGCCAGCAAGUCUUCUGCCAAAGUCAGUAUUAAAAAAAAAAAAAAAAAAAAAAAACAUUUAAAGAAAAUUUUUUAAAAAAAAAAAACAA